CAAACUAAAAUGGAUCAAACACAAUUUACAUGGCAAAUGCCAUGAAAGAUCUACAGCGGCCUUCAACAUCAACGUCGACUAGCGUAAAUAUUAUCACAAAUUUCGACACCUUCGACCCUAAAACGGAAAGUUUUAAAACAUAUAAGGAACGCAUAUAGCUGCAUUUUCAAUUUUUACGGCAUCAAUCAAGUAAUCGAUACUUAUCAAAAGGAUAAAUCAAUAUCAUCUGUAGAUACACACAAAUUUUUAUCAACGUGGAAAUUGAAGGCAAAGAUCAAAAUUUCGAAGUGGAUUCCGGAUUCCGUAUAGCCAGCUAUACGCUAAUACCACGAAGUGAUUAUUUCAAAUUAAAAAAAGAAGCCUAUGCGGAGAACCAACAUAGCGUUUGUAACCCUUGCUGUCGUCGACAUAAGCGUCAAAUACAAAAUAAAACAUCAAAAGAAGAAAUGUACGUCGAAUUAGAAAAAUAUUCUCCUCUUUUGGGACGUGUAUGGAUUAGACAUUUACAAAUAAAUCUAUGAGAUAUCGACAAGGAAUGUUCAAAGGACUACAAUAAAGGAAAAUACAUGGUAAAUUCUAUUGAAAAAAUCGUCGAAAAAUAUGCUGAAAUCUUCAAGCCAAAAGUUGGAUUUAUUCUCGAUGCUAUGCGUUGCCUCAAACUUCAAAAAGAUGCCAAACCAGUAUUUGUUCGUGAACGGCAAGUGCUAGAUUGUUAGGAGCGUGAUGGCAUUAUAACAAUGGUAAACACUAGUCUGUGGGGAUCACCACUGGUAGUAAUUCCUAAGUCAGAUGGGAAUGUGCGUCUUUGUGUCGACUUUAAAGUGGGUGUCAACCCUCAACUAGGGACGGCACAUUACCCAAUCAAACGCAUCGACGAAAUUUUCAACACACUAAAAAACUCCAGUUUUUUUGCAAGUUAGAUCUAUAUAAGGCGUACCUUCAUGUUCGAAUCGGCGACGACAGUAAAAAUAUUCAAACGAUAUCAACUCACAGAGGUAUAUACAAUAGUAUGCAUCGACUAUCUUUUGGAUUAAAAACAGCUCCUAGUGAAUUCAACGAUUAAAGAGUGUGAAGAUCGUCUCAUCAAACCUCUGGAUAGAUUGCAACUUAAUUAAUUACACAUAAACAAAAGCCAAUGUGAGUUUUUUAAAACUCAAUUAAAAUAUUUAGGCUACGUAGUUAGCUUCAAUGAUUACAUACUGUUCAAAAUUUGUACCAGACGUUUCAACAAUAACACACCCGUUGCCCCAACUCCUAGAGGAAGGUGAACGUCAGAAUGUGAAAGUGUAUUUGAAAAACUAAAACAGGAGAUUAUUGCUGAUAGGGUAUUAACAAUGCGUCAUUGCCGGUACAAUUGACUGGUGACGCCAGUCCAACAGGUAUAGCAGCUGUGCUGUUACAUAUAAACGGAGUAGAACGCACUGUAGCAUUCAUUUCUAGAGCCUUAACCAAGGCCGAGCUAAAUUAAAGUCAACUAGACCGCGAGGCCUUAGCGAUAGUGUUUGCAGUUGAUGAAUUAUACACAUACCUGAAUGCAAGAGAGUUUACGUUCAUUACCGACAAUCGACCACUUUCCAGAAUUUUCCACCAAAACGCAAAAACUCCAGCUGUGACUUCUGCAAGACUUUUCAGGUAUGCAUCUUUUUUACAAAAUUUUAAUUACAAGGUUGAACAUCGCAAAGGCGAACACAAUACAAAUGCCGAUUGUUUAUCUAGAGCACCAAUAACCAGUAGCAACAAUUUGUAUCACUUCUUGGACGAAGAGGUAAAAAUGAUUUAAGAUCAAAUCAUCCACCAAAUAUCAUCAACAUCGAUUACUGCGUUAACCAUAAAACACGAAACAGAUUAAGAUCAAGACCUUGUAAAGCUAAGAAAAUACAUUUUGAACGAAAAAACCCCAUCUUUUCACUUCAAGAAGGAAUCAUUUUUCGAGGCAAUCGUGUUCUCAUUCUAACAACUUUACGUUCCAGCAUAAUUAAAGAACUGCAUCAUACGCACUUUGCAUUGUGACAUUAAAGAAAUGGUGAAAGCUUGCUCCGAUUGUGCCAAUAUUAUGAAGAAUCCAGCGAAAGUUCUUACGCACCAAUGGGAAGAACCAGACGCAAAAUCAAAAUGGCCCGAAGUGAAAGUCAUUAAAAAAGCGGCAACAACUGAAAGAACAAUAGACCUUCCACAAAAUAUUUUUCCGCACAUAGACUUCCAAAAAUUCUAGUUUCCGAUAAUGCAUCGAUAUUUCAAAGCAACGUUUUUCGUAAUUUCCGAAUACCAAAUGGCAUUACUCAAAAAUUUAUUGCACCAGUCCAUCCAACUACCAACAGCUUAGCCGAAAAAUCUUCUAAGAAUCUCUGGUGUUCCUGAUGCUGGUUGCUGUGCAGCUGGCUCUGGGGUAUGAGGUGGAAUGAUAACAUGAAUUGUUGAACGACUCUCAAUUCGAAUUUCGCUAUAAACCGGUUUAGGCUUUGGUGGUAAUUCAGCAAACGUAACUUGCUUUUGAGGCUUAUCGACAUUUGAUUUAUAAAGUUGGUUUAUAUGGCGUUUAAACUCGUAGCCAUUAUCGAGCCUUAUAUGGUAGUGCAGUUUUCCAAAUUUCUUUUUAACGAUUCCAAACUUUCGAGUCGGUUUGUUUUUGUCGUACCAUCGUACUUGCACUCUGGAUCUCAGGAUAAGAUGGUUUUAGAUUUUUCCAAAGGACGAAUUGCAUCAAGUUUUAUUCGCAACUCGCGCCCUUGAUACAAUUUCGAAGGACUAUUACCAUCGGCUAACGGUGUUGCUCUAUGGCGAAAAACAAUAUCCUGCACUUUCUCAUAUAACGUUGAUUUUUCAUUGCAUUUAAUUUAAUAACUUAAACACAGAAAUUUAUAUCCGUAUUUAGGAUGGGAUAUCUGGGGGGCCGCCCCACCUCCAAAGCCACCAGCCAAAUGAAAUAUUAACCAAUAAUGACAAUAUGGGACUCAAAUGAAAGGUAUUUGAGACCAGAGCACGAAUCUGAUAUAUGGGGAUCCGCCUCACCCCCCCCCCCCCAAAAAAAAAACCCCAUACCGGACAUAUUUACCGACCAUAGCAAUAUAAGGCUCCAAUAAAAGGUAUUUUGGAGAAGAGCACCAAUACAAUAUCCACAUUGGCGCGAAAUAUCUGAAAGGCCGUACCACCACUCCCAAACAGGACUUAGUUCCUGAAGUGACCGCAAAGGGCUUAGAUAAAAUAAGAAAGUGAAAGAAGGAGUAGCGGAGCGGGCCAUGUCCAGCUAGUUAUAAUAUAUUUAAUAUACUCCAAUAUUAAAUAAAGGACAUCUUCCAUUAUAUACAAAUGAAA